GAAAAUGCCUCUACAAUCGUGGAAAUCAAACCCCAAUUUGAUCGAAAAAUUGUCGACAAAAAGCCACGUCACUUCUCGUCCGCAAGCUUUAAAUUUAGCCAAUAAUCGAUCGACAAGUUUGGGCGGGAAUUUGAAUUCGCCGGAUAAUUACGAGCUUUUCUACACACCGAGGGCCACUUUUAAGCAGAAGGCCGAAGAAAAUCAUCUGGAAACCCUGAAAAUGCCGGAAAUUGCACUGAAUCCAUCGGAAACCCCUUACGAAACCCCGAAACUAUUCGAUUCAAACAUUCGUAAAACGAAAAAAGGAUUUCGAGUUAGUUUUUCGAAUCGCCGCGUUUUUAUCAAUAGAGCACGUUUACAGCGCUUCGACACCACAUCGCCCUUUAAGCAUCCUGACGUCAGAGAUCUUCUGAAAUCCGCGAAACGGAGACUUCGAAAGAUUACGAAUUAUAAUUAUCAAGGCAAGUCAUUAGAAAAUCAUUUUAAAACAUUUUUUUUGCCUAAAAAAACAAAAAAAAAUCUUGUAAAAAAAAUUACGUGAAAAAAAACGUUUUUUUUCCACAUUUUUUAACUGAAAUUUUUUUUAAUGACUUGCCUAACGCCACGUCACCACUCUGUUUAUUUUUCCGUUUGACCCCCUCCGACGCACGUUCGAGUGCCCCUUCCUAACAGUCUAACUCUCCCAUUUUCCCACACACUUUUGCCGUCUGCGUCUCUCACACUCUCCUCAUUUAGCCAUCCCUGCUAACCUUCAACAAUAACACGGAUUACGAAGGAUUUGGCGCCAAAAAGGAUAUAUUUUUCUAUAAUUUCAACUUGAAAUGGAUAAUUAUAGCCUGUUGAGCAGUGAGGAUCACAUUGAAAUGCGGCAAUUUGCAGCUGGAAUAGGUUUGUUUUGAAUUUAAAUAACGAAAACUAAUUUGUUUCAAUACCCCAAAGUUGUGCAUUUUUGAACCGAAAAAUACAGUAAAAGGUCUUGACACGACCGAAAGCUUGCUGAUACCGUACCCACAAAUAAUUUUUGAUUUUCGAUUAAUUUUUCAAAUCAUAAAUUUUAAAAUAUGGUUUAAAAAAUAAGUGAAUCAUCCCAAAUUUGGAAAAAAAAAUACAAGAACAAUCAUAGAAAAUUACGAAAUAUCUGUGGUUACGGUAGCUACGAAAUUUCGGUCUCGUUGCGAGACCCGGGUACCGUAAUGUAAUUCAAUUGUUGCGUUAUUUCGCAAUUGAAGAAGUUCAUUUUCUAAAUUUUUCCCAAUGAAAAACAAAACUGAACUUAUUUUACUGAUCCCCGAAUUAAUUUUUCAAACUAAUAAUAUUUAAGUGACAAUAAAAAAAAAACGGUUUUUUUCUGAAUUUUAACAUUUUUAUUUAUUUAUCAAUUGAAAAAAAAACUUUUAAAACAAUUAAAUUUAAAUUGGUUUCAUCAUUUGAACCUCAUUUUUCAGAUCCCCACGCAUUCGGGAGAAGUCAAAAUAAUCGACGGGACUCGCUCAGCUCAGUAAAUGGAGAAGCCAGGUAUUUGAAAUUUUAAACCUUUAAAAAUGAUGAAAGAAACCAAAAAUCUUGAAAAUCUAAAAUUACUCAAAAAAAAAAUUAAUUUGUAAUUAAAAUUUUAAAAAAUAAAACCAGCAAAAAAUUUAUAAAUGAGAAAACUUUACAAAUUAUUAAUUGUCCAAAAUUUUGAAAUAUAGCAAAAAUUUAGCAAAAAUGAGGAAAAAACAACAACAAUUGUCAUUUUCUUUCAUUUUGUGCCCGCAUUCUUUCCUCAUGCCACCCUCUGCCCCGUCAUCAACAGCUUUAUUUUUUUUUGUUCGAACAAUUAUUUUUUUUCUUUGAUUGUUCAACUUCUUCACUCUUGAAAAUCAAUUGUUUUUUCUGUGCCAUCUGAAAGAAAAAUUUUUGAUUGAAAAAAAAAGUAAAAAGAAUUGAAAAGAAGAAAUGAAAAUGAAAUCGAAAAAAGAUGCAAACCUGUUGAGUUUUCAACGACGACAAAGCGAGUUUUCAUAUUUUUCACUUAUGAAUUCCAAGUGGGUUUUUUCCUUCUUUUUUGCUUUUUUCUAAGUAAAUUAUAAAAUAUCUAGGUUUUAAGAUGCCUGCUAUGUUGCAAAAUGUUAGCAAAACUACAAAAAUUUUGAAGAUAACGUAACAUAGAGUAGUUUGAAAUGUCCAUAUUUUCUAUCACGGGAACCCAAUAUUCUGAGAAUGCGUAUCCAACGACAUAUUUAACGCGCAAAAUUUCUCGUAGCGAAAACAGCAGUAGUUCUUUAAAAGACAUACUGUAGCGCUUGUGUCGAUUUACGGGCUCGAUUUCCGACAUGAAUUUUAAUAAUUUUUUAUUGAUAGAAUAUUAGAAUUAAGCCAAAAAUGAGAAAAUAAUGAAGUACAAUCGAAUAUCGCUGCCACUAUUCGAAAAGAAAUUCAUUUCGAAAAUCAAGCCCGUAAGCUACAGUAACCAUUUAAAGAAUUACUGUAGUUUUCGCUGUUAGAUAUUUUGCGCGUCAAAUAUACGCAUUCCCAGCAUUUUAUGUUCCUGUAAUAGAAUUUUCUGAAACAGCUCAAUAUUUUUGAAUUUCCAAAGAAAAACAUUUCCACGCAGGACCGGAAACCCAAAAGUAAUAAUUUCCAGAGUUCAAUUCGCUCUGUCACAAACGCCACCCGUGGAAAAUGCUCCAACUGGAGGCAGCAGUUCGAUGGGACAAUCACCACCACAUCAUCCGGCAAAUACGAGCACAAAUACGGCAACACAUCAUACAUUGUCACCGGUUAUUCAGUGUUUUCAGCAAGAUCA
rnacentral:sRNA from 1 species